GGUUGGAGGAGCAAAAAGCUGCCGCUACCCUCUUGUCUCAAAAAAAAAAGUCGCUCCCCUCCACCUCCGGCGAAUUUCUCUCAAAGAAAGAGAAAACCUCCGGCGAAAUCCCCAUGGCAGCGCCGACCUCCUCCGCCUCUGCCUGCUCCGGCGAGCGGUGGCCCCCGCUGGAGUCCAGCCCCGAAGUCUUCAACCAGUUCAUGUGGUCGCUGGGUGUCCCGCGGGGCGAGGCUGAGUUCCACGACGUCUACGGGCUAGACGCCGACGCGCUGGCCAUGGUGCCCCAGCCCGUGGUCGCCGUCGUCUUCUGCUUCCCCGAUCCGCCCGAGGAUCCAACUGCUCCUCCAGAGCAAGUCUCAGCUACUGAAGACAAGGAAAGUUUGGAUGAGGUGUAUUUCAUAAAACAGAUCGACUCAUUAGGAAAUGCUUGUGGAACUAUCGCUUUACUUCAUGCUGUUGGAAAUGCAUGUUCAGAAAUCAGUCUUUUGGAGAAUUCAGGCUUGGACCUGUUUUUCAAAUCAACAGCCAGCAUGGACCCGUAUGAGCGUGCCAGAGUGUUGGAGAAGGACGAUGACAUGGCAAGAGCUCACUCAUUGGCUGCCAGUGCUGGUGACACAGAGAUCGGUGACAUUGUAGAAGAGCAUUAUGUUUGUUUCACGGCUCUCAAUGGGACACUUUACGAGCUUGAUGGAAUGAAGGGUGGACCAAUAAAGCAUGGUCCCUCAUCUCCUGAAAGUUUACUGCAGGAUGCCGUGAAUGUCAUCAAGGCGAUGAUUCAGAGGAUUCCCAAUUCGGUAAACUUCAAUGUGAUGGCGCUAUCGAGGAAACUGAAGUAAAGAGGUGCUACUUCUUUGGUUGAUUGUUUCUGGGAUACGGCAGAAGGGGUGAAGGCUAUCUGUUUCAGCCAACAGCAGACGCCGUCCACUCUUGCGUGAACCAACAACGUUGAAUGAGGCACUGGAUGAUCCAAGGUGGAAGAAAGCCAUGGAUGAAGAAUACUCAACACUCAUGAAAAGUAAAACUUGGCAUCUCCUACCAGAUCAGAGAGGUAAAAAUAUCCAAUUUGGUUAUAUUAUAUCAUGGACUCGAAAAACGGAUCUGAAUUUGACUGAAAUGCACGAUCUUCACAGGUAUCACUUUUCACGAUACCUAAAAGGUGGAAUAGCGAUUUUCGAACCAUUUCCUAUAAGAGAAUGGUUUCCAUUACUUUGAGAUUUCUUUUUGGAUUUCUAUAUGUGUAAUUACUUCGGAACUUGAACCUGAGUCCAUUUUUCUAUUAUGUGUAAUUACUUCGGAACUUGAGUCUGAUUCUAUUUUUCUAUUCGAGCCCUUUUUCCUAUUCUUUUGUAUAUAGUUCUUGAUACAAUCCCUUAUUUUUUUAUCUUCCUGUAGACCUUCCGAAUAAUUUUUUGGUUGUGCGAACCAAAAGGAAUGGUGUUUUUGGGUUGUACCAAGUCU